UGCAAGCGAUGCCACACUGCCAGCCGACAAAAUCCCGCGGUAACCCUGUAGAAUUAUAUUCUUUUGUGUACGUGACGAUCAUAAAGUUGUCAUUAAAAGGAGUUUUACAUAUAUCUAUGUAAAAAUGUAAAUUUUUGGCUGCAAUUUUGUUCUACAUAUAUAUAUAUAAAUUUUGUAUUUUCGUUGGAAAGCUGACGUACUCGAAGUCGACAAACGCGCCAGAUAGCAUCCAUCCAAUUUUUCCAAUUUCCAUAUUUGCGGAAAUUAAGCUCAAUCAAAAGGCAAACGCCCAAAUUGUCGAGCCCCCGUCGACGGUCAUCAAUGUUGCCAAAAGUGUCGCGAAUUCCAAUCAAGCCUCGCCAUUUGUGGAAACUGCGACUCGAAUUGAAUUUUGCAACAGUAUUCAGGCAGUUGCCUGAAUAAGUGCCCAAUAACUGCGCUUUAUUUAUAUUAAUUGAUUACUUAAUGCGGCGCCGCCCGCCUCGGAGAUUCGAAUGCCCCCCAUUAAACCAUCAGAACCUAAAAUGUGUCUAAGGUCUAGAGUCUAGACUGAUAAGGGGUUGUAAAUAAGUCAACAGGCGACGAGGAUCUGAAGACGUCAACCUGCAAAAGCCGAGGGAAAUCCCUUGAUACGUAACGUCAAUCUCUUGACCUGCCCAGUCAGCCGUAAUCACUCGGAAAUCUUCUAUAAUGUCAUUCAAGGCUAUUUCUGAUAUCUGAUUUUGUUUGGAGUGUUAUGUGAGUGUGAGUUAUAAAUUUAUAUCUGGCUAUAAUGAAUAAGGA